GCUCUCUUCAAGGGACUUCCUGAGAAGGGAACACAGGUGAAAGGGAGGCCAUAACCCCACCAGCCUGUCUGACCAAGGGGGGGGGGGGUAUUACAUUGCUUACCUGUGACAUCACAAGGACAUCCAGCCACCCUUGGUCCUUGCUGCUAACAACCUGAUCCACCCUCCUGAAACUUGCUUACCCUUACAGUGUUUUGGGUGACAGUCACAUGAGCUGACAUAUGUGGAAGGUGCUUUGUAAGCUGGGAAGAGGCCUGUGCGUACAGGAAAGCAUGCUCCGUUGUGACAGAUUUCUCAUGUUGGUCAGAGAUGGGAUGGAAGAGAUGGCAGAAGAGGUGAGGCAUGAGGAGGACUCCCGCCACCAUUGCUGGCUUUGAAGAUGAAGAGGCCCACAAGCCAAAGUGUGGUGUGGCUUUUAGAAGCUGAGGACAACACUAGCCCAACAGCCAGCAAGGAAAUGGGGGCCUCAGUCCUGUAAAUGCAUGGACCUAAAUUCUGCCGACAGCCUGCAUGAGCCAGCGAUUACAUUCUCCCCCAGAGCCUUCAGGAAGGAAAGCAGUCCUGCCACCGUGGUUUUAGCCUGGUUUCAGUAAAUACUCCCCCACACGUUUGGAAGUGGAUUUUGUAAUGAGCCUGUGAGACGUGGAGGUGAGGAUGCAAAAGAAGUUGAGCAUCAGUCAAGGCAAGUGCUAAUUGCUUGUUCCUUGGUCUCUCCUACUACAGAGAACACUAUGACAGUUAUUUAAAAACAAAGGAAGAAAGAGAAAUUAUGAGGGUUUUUUUUUUAACCAAAUAUGAAAGGGCCAAAGGAUGUAGAGAAGUAAGGGGGGAGGAAACUUGUUCAAAUUCACCCGGUGAGUGCCCAGUAGUGGGGUGGGACUGCAUGUUGACUUUGGGCUCUUGUGAGCUGUGGCCUUGGGUAAGUAACUCCAACUUUGUAAGCCUCUGAUUCCUCAUCUGUAAAAUAGGAUUAAUAACAGGAGUCUCUUCAUGAGUUUAUGACCAGGGUUAAACGAGCUAAUGAGUGUGAAGUGCCUGACCAAUGACCACUGUUCCAUUAAAGUAGCAGCCGCGGCUAGUAAAUUCUAAAGGCCAAAAGGCCAGUCACCUCAGCUCUGGGGCUCUUUUCCUUGGGCAUCAACCACUACAAGCCCAUACUGCCUUGGAAGGAGUGCACCCCCUUCCGAACAUGUAUGUAUGUUACUCCUGGAUGGGGAAAGAAUGACAACAUGUAAAUACAGUUGUUGAGAUAUACAGGUGACCCUUGAACAAUGUGGGGAUGAGGGGCACUGACCCCCUGCACAGUCGAAAAUAUAUAUAGCUUUUGACUUCCCCAAAAUUCAACUAGUAAUAGCCUACUGUUGACCGGAAGCCUUAAUGAUAACAUAAAUAGUCAAUUAGCACUUAUUUUGUAUGUUACAUGUAUUAUCUACUGAAUUUUACAGCAAAUUAAGCUAGAAAAAAAUGUUGAGAAAAUCCAUCUGCAGUUGUAUACUAUAUUUAUCAAAAAACAAAAAUCCACAUGUAAGUGGACCCACACCGUUCAAACCCGUGUUGUUCAAGAGUCAGCUAUACUGAAAUCUCUAUUAAGCAAGAACUGCUAGGUUGACUUGCAAAAUUCAACAUGAGAUAAAUGAUGUAAGCAAAGGCUAGACCCCUUUAGCACAAUAGGGAAUGUAGGUUAAGGCAGUUUCAAGAGUCUACUAAUUAUGAGAAGAAAAAUCAAUGAGAAAGAAUUGAAAAGGGGACUGGUCACUGAUAGGCGUGUGCCCGGGUAAGAGACAAAGUCCCAGGAGAAAGAAAUAAGUUCAAGGAGAGAGAGAAAGAGCUCAUUGCAUAUGAUAUCAUCACAACCUGUUGUGAUGUGCAACAGAGAGAACCACCCUUCCUGGCAGUCAGGAGAGCUGAGAAACCCACUUAACUGAUCCACAAAGGAAGAGAAAAGAGAGAUCAGAAGCUUGAGCAUUUCAGUCUUUGGAAAUAAAACCUCUAAACCCACGAGUGAUAGGAAUAGAAAUUUAACCUCAGGGUUUAUGUCAUAAAAUGUUCUCUGUAGACUUUUUUAAAAAAAUUUUUUAAAGUUUAUUUUUGAAAGAGUGAGACAGAGCAUGAGUGGGGGAGGAACAGAGAGAGAGGGAAACAAAGAAUC